UACGAAGGGGGCGAGCGUUGUUCGGAUUCAUUGGGCGUAAAGGGUGUGUAGGUGGCGCCGUAAGUCGGGUGUGAAAUUUCGGAGCUUAACUCCGAAACUGCAUUCGAUACUGCGGUGCUUGAGGACUGGAGAGGAGACUGGAAUUCAUGGUGUAGCAGUGAAAUGCGUAGAGAUCAUGAGGAAGACCAGUGGCGAAGGCGGGUCUCUGGACAGUUCCUGACACUGAGACACGAAGGCCAGGGGAGCAAACGGG
rnacentral:rRNA from 1 species